GAAAUGCGAUAAGUAAUGUGAAUUGCAGAAUUCAGUGAAUCAUCGAAUCUUUGAACGCACCUUGCGCUCCUUGGUAUUCCUUGGGGCAUGCCUGUUUGAGUAUCAUGAAAUCUUCAAAGUAAAUCUUUUGUUAACUCAAUUGGUUUCUACUUUGGUAUUGGAGGUCUUUGCAGCUUCACACCUGCUCCUCUUUGUUCAUUAGCUGGAUCUCAGUGUUAUGCUUGGUUCCACUCGGCGUGAUAAGUUAUCUAUCGCUGAGGACACUGUAAAAGGUGGCCAAGGUAAAUGCAGAUGAACCGCUUCUAAUAGUCCAUUGACUUGGACAAUACUUUUAUGAUCUGAUCUCAAAUCAGGUAGGACUACCCGCUGAACUUAAGC
rnacentral:misc_RNA from 1 species